AAAACAAAACUGAGGAGGCCGUGAAUUUAACAAAUAUCAUACGUCACAUUUUUAUAGUCAAUAAAAAUGCAUCCAAUAAUUUUCCUUAUACUCGCAACCACCAUAGUUGUUACUACACAUACUUUAACACCAAACCGAACCCAUUAUUUGGAUACGAUGGAAUGUGGUGACUGCGAGAAGGUAAACCGGGAAUGCAAAAUCGUAUCUUCUGGGUAUUACUGCCGUGAGCACGACGACAGUGACAAGCUCGAUGCCCGGCAAGGAGUCAAGGCGAAUUUGCGACAUCUAAGGAAAUGCAUGGGCCCUGAUCAUUUCUUUUUUAAUAAAGAGGGGAUUUCGGCGGCCUGCUGUUUUUGGACACAAGAAAUGGGAUGCCAGCAAGUCAAAAACAAGAUGCGCACAAAGCCUUGCUCUGAUUGUGCUACCUACCAUGAAAGAGGCUCUUUCCUGGAUCUUAAUCCAAUGGGCUGUCCAUGUGGGCCACAGGAAAAAAAUGGUGCAGAAAAUCCGCUUGAAUGCUUCUUUUUCAUUAUUAUUCUUAUGAUGUGUACGAUAUUGUAUGAUCGAUUUUUAGGACCUGUUUAAAGCAGCUGUUAGCUGCUGAAUACUUCAGAUGUUGCUGGACUCUCCUUUGAUUUUCUUAACCUUGUCCUCCGGGUUUUCGGCAUCGGCUGUGUAAAUCUUAUAUUCUGGGACUUACUUGGCUUGUCAGCCCCAGCUUGACAACAUAUAUCACCCAACGAAAUUUUGCCUUAUAUAAUACACAUAAUAAAAAUGUCCGCGCUGCUCUUUUACCUAAUUUUCACGUUCACCUCCACAACGGCCAAUGGAGCGAAGACUACUCCGAAGUAUUUACAAAAAAUGAAAUGUGGCGAAUGUGAAUCUCAAGAUCACUGCAAGAUCGAGACUUCUGGUUAUUUUUGUCCGGACCAGUUCGACAGAAUUGAGAUUCAGUACAAUCCGGACGGCAAUUUAUCGAAGGGCUUGGAACACUUGACGAAAUGCGUGGCUCCACAUUAUUAUUUUUAUAACAAAAAAGAAAUCAGCCAAAUGUGCUGCUUCUGGACACCUAAGAUGGGUUGUCAACAACUACUAAAUAAAGGCUAUUCAAAAAAACCGCAUUGCUCUGUAUGUACCUCAUACGGGGAAGAUGGUUGUCCAUGUGGGCCGAGUUGCGGUGGAGGAAAACUUUGUAACAUCAACUCUUUCAUUAUCGUUCUUAUGUGUACGAUACUAAGCGAUUAUAUAUAUAUAUAAUUAAAUGAAUUCUAAAAGAAUUUUACUAUAUAGGCACUGCGUGCCUCGAUACAGUUUCAAUAAAAUGGAGGGAGAUCCAAGCAUACGCUUACACGCUCAUUUCCAUGAGUUUACGUUGUGUUCCAUUCUCAAAGCAUUCAUAUAAAAAUGUCAAGAAUUCUUAAGAUGGCGCUGGUCGACCCUUUGAUUUUCUCAUCUUCGUCUCUGGUUCGCCCUUCUCUCCCACUAUCGCUUCAACCUAACCUUACCCCAUAAUCGACGUAUGGCAAAAACCAGAACAAAGUGUCAGGUUCUUUUUUAGCCUCAGCCUGGCAACGAAGGUGGCCACGCUAUUGGCUUCAGUAAACACGCAGAAGCUCAUUUCGACGACAUAUCAGAUAUUUCAUUCAACGAAAGUUUCCAAUAUAUUACACACAGCAAAAAUGUCCGGGCUCUUCUUUUACCUAAUUUUCGCGUUCAUCGCAGCAGUGGCCAAUGGCCAGAAGGAACUUAUACCGGAGUAUUUAAGGGCAAUGGAAUGUGGACAAUGUGACGCUCAACAGGAUUGCAGAAUCGAAACGACUGGCUCUUUUUGUCCCUCACAGUAUGACAGGAUUGAGUUGCAUUACAGUCACGACGGCAAUUUAUCGGCGGGCUUGGAUUCCUUGGCGGAGUGCCUACCCAAACAUUAUUAUUUUUUCAACAAAAAGGCAAUUAGCCAAAUGUGUUGCUUCUGGACACCUCAGACGGGUUGUCAGCAACUAAGAAGCAAAUCCUAUAAUAGAAACCCUUGCUCUGUAUGUGCUAAAUGGAAUUGGAACACAGAAUCAGAUCCAAUGGGGUGUCCGUGCCAUGAAAUAGAAGAGCACCUUAGAAAAAAGAGAAAAGGGAGAAAAGGAGGCGCAACAAAACUCCAACAUUUUGGCUUAUUUCCUGUGAUCUUCAUCUAUUUUGUGCAGCAAAUAUUUUCCCCAUUGGCCCUAUGUGGGAGGGAAAUGUAAAAGGUUUUAUAUCAAACAAAAACUUGUUCCUGUUCCCUGGCUUUAUGGAAACAAAUUUUCAAACCAGGACUACUCGGACUAAUCGGAUAUUUUGUACACAUCUGACACUCGAAUGACUAUUCGUUACAUGAGCUUAUGUUCUUACCAGUGAAAUAAUCCAAACUUCGUCAUUCCGAUUGAUAUUUCCUAUUCCGUGGCUGUAUGCGUAAAUAUCACUACACUCUAAAAAGCUAACCGGAAGGUGGAACAUCUGACAGUAUUAUUCAUCUGACACAAUGACAUUGAAAUAACCCAAACUUCCUCAAAUGGUGACGUGUACACAAAAAAAUAUUUCAAAAAUUUCAAAUCGAGAAUGAUAUGGCACGGAAAAUAUGACAGGAUCAACGCAAUGGAUUGCUUAUGCAUUUGCAGAUACUUCUUUCAAGCGAAGCGGAAAGAGAAUAUGCACAUUAUAAUGGGUUCUUAGACAGGAUGAUCUGAGUCCAGCUUUGACGAACGCCUCGACUAGUUUUUCAUCCAUCGAGAAUCGUGGCCUUAUUUGUUCUCUACUUUUGGCAAUAAACAUUAAAACACUA